UGCGGUUGGAUCACCUCCUUUCAAGGAAUUGUUCUGAUACGUUGGAACAUUCUAAGAAUAAGAAGACCUAAGCUUAGAGUUUAGGCAUUUAAAGCACUAGAGCGCCGUCAGUAUAUCCCUUCCUUAGUUUUCCUGGGCUAGUAGCUCAGUUGGUUAGAGCACACGCUUGAUAAGCGUGGGGUCGGAGGUUCAAGUCCUCCCUGGCCCACCAUGAAUGGGGGCAUAGCUCAGCUGGUAGAGCACCUGCUUUGCAAGCAGGGGGUCGUCGGUUCAAACCCGUCUGCCUCCACCAUCUUUUGAGAUGGUUGGAUGAUGCCUAAUUGGUUGAGUGAGCUUUUACAGGAAGAUAACUAAGGGAAGAGGAAAGAGUUCUUCCUUCUGAUUGUGCUUUUUAGCAUGAUGUGACGAAGAGAAGUGUCUGGUCUUUGGAGAGUGAAUCGGUUGGUGCGCUAUCUGGGUGCGCUGUCAUUAUUGUCUGAUCCUUCAGGUGUUUAAUGUUUCCUUAUUAAACACGGGAUAUGGCAGUGGCGGUCAGAUGGCGUUGAAGAAAUGACUGACAUUGUGUGAACAGUGUCUUUCAUAGAGAGGAUAAGGGAAGAGAUUUUCUUAUUUUCUGUGUGAUUGGCUACUGUGCAUGUGGUGUGAGAAUGAGAAGGGCAUUCGGUGGAUGCCUAGGCACA
rnacentral:tRNA from 1 species